rnacentral:rRNA from 1 species
GAUGAACGCUGGCGGCGUGCCUAAUACAUGCAAGUCGAGCGAACGGACGAGAAGCUUGCUUCUCUGAUGUUAGCGGCGGACGGGUGAGUAACACGUGGAUAACCUACCUAUAAGACUGGGAUAACUUCGGGAAACCGGAGCUAAUACCGGAUAAUAUUUUGAACCGCAUGGUUAAAAAGUGAAAGACGGCCUUGCUGUCACUUAUAGAUGGAUCCGCGCUGCAUUAGCUAGUUGGUAAGGUAACGGCUUACCAAGGCAACGAUGCAUAGCCGACCUGAGAGGGUGAUCGGCCACACUGGAACUGAGACACGGUCCAGACUCCUACGGGAGGCAGCAGUAGGGAAUCUUCCGCAAUGGGCGAAAGCCUGACGGAGCAACGCCGCGUGAGUGAUGAAGGUCUUCGGAUCGUAAAACUCUGUUAUUAGGGAAGAACAUAUGUGUAAGUAACUGUGCACAUCUUGACGGUACCUAAUCAGAAAGCCACGGCUAACUACGUG